UACGAAGGGGGCUAGCGUUGCUCGGAAUCACUGGGCGUAAAGCGCACGUAGGCGGCUUUUUAAGUCAGGGGUGAAAUCCUGGAGCUCAACUCCAGAACUGCCUUUGAUACUGAGAGCUUGAGUCCGGGAGAGGUGAGUGGAACUGCGAGUGUAGAGGUGAAAUUCGUAGAUAUUCGCAAGAACACCAGUGGCGAAGGCGGCUCACUGGCCCGGUACUGACGCUGAGGUGCGAAAGCGGUGGGGAGCAAACAGGG
rnacentral:rRNA from 1 species